AUCAACUUUCGAUGGUAGGAUAGAGGCCUACCAUGGUGGUAACGGGUAACGGGGUGUUAGGGCACGACACCGGAGAGGGAGCCUGAGAAACGGCUACCACAUCCAAGAAUGGCAGCAGGCGCGCAAAUUACCCAAUCCCGACACGGGGAGGUAGUGACAAUAAAUAACAAUACGGGAUUCUAAAGGAUUUCGUAAUUGGAAUGAGUACAAUUUAAAUCUCUUAACGAUCAACAAUUGGAGGGCAAGUCUGGUGCCAGCAGCCGCGGUAAUUCCAGCUCCAAUAGCGUAUAUUAAAGUUGUUGCAGUUAAAAAGCUCGUAGUUGAAUUUCGGGGUUAGUAGGUUGGUCAUGCCUCUGGUAUGUACUGAUCUCACUGAUUCCUCCCUCUUGACGAACUGUAAUGUCAUUAAUUUGGUGUUGCAGGAAAUCAGGACUGUUACUUUGAAAAAAUUAGAGUGUUUAAAGCAGGCUUAGGCUUGAAUACAUUAGCAUGGAAUAAUGAAAUAGGACGUUUGAACCUAUUUUGUUGGUUUCUAGGAUCGACGUAAUGAUUAAUAGGGAUAGUUGGGGGCAUUAGUAUUCAAUUGUCAGAGGUGAAAUUCUUGGAUUUAUUGAAGACUAACUACUGCGAAAGCAUUUGCCAAGGAUGUUUUCAUUAAUCAAGAACGAAAGUUAGGGGAUCGAAGACGAUCAGAUACCGUCGUAGUCUUAACCAUAAACUAUGCCGACUAGGGAUCGGAUGAUGUUAAUUUUUUAAUGACUCAUUCGGCGCCUUACGGGAAACCAAAGUGUUUGGGUUC
rnacentral:rRNA from 1 species